rnacentral:rRNA from 1 species
UACAGGAGGUCCCAAGCGUUGUUCGGAUUCACUGGGCGUAAAGGGUGCGUAGGUGGUGAGGUAAGUCGGAUGUGAAAUCUCGGAGCUACAACGUCCGAAAUGGCAUUGGAAACUACCUCGCUAGAGGAUCGGAGGGGAGACUGGAAUUCUCGGUGUAGCAGUGAAAUGACGUAGAUAAUCGAGAGGAACACCAGUGGCGAAGGCGAGUCUCUGGACGAUCCUGACGCUGAGGCACGAAAGCCAGGGGAGCAAACGGGAUUAG